CGGUGGCUGAACUUAGUGGAGCUGAGGAGCUGAACUGGAGGGUCUCUCUGAACACUAGAGUUUUGCUUGGGACAAUCUUGUGCUUCCAGACAGAAAGAUACAAACUAGGCUGGCCCUACUUGAGGUUCCUGAAGGGAAAUACUGAGAAGAUACCAGAAGAGCUGGCAGUGUCCAUAAGGUUCCUAUCCACAGAUCCUUGGUAUACUAGAGAUUUCAGGUUUUCGAUAGCUGUAGCUGGAUCACCUGCAGGAGCAGUUGCCAGAAUGCAAUUCCAGACCUGUUCCUUUCCUGGAUAACUAUGACAGAGGACACUGGGUUAUUGCUAUUUUUAAGGCUUUUGUGGUCAGUAUUCUGGGUGGACUUUAUCAAAAUCAUAUGGGAGAUGUUGGUCAAGUUGGUGGCAAUGUUCUGACUGGCUUGAUUCAUGUUUAUUUUCCUAAGAGACUUCUAGGAAAUAAUAUAACAUUUUUUUCCAGAAAAGCUUCCAUUUUUGAUGUUUUUGUUUAAUUAUUUUUCUUUGUCAUAAAGAAGUGUUCAUUUUGGAGGAAGAUUAGAAAUUGACUGAUACAAAGACAAAAUACAUCAAUAAAACAUAUUAACAAAAAAAGAUGAUUUAUAGU
rnacentral:lncRNA from 1 species